CCUACGGGUGGCAGCAGUAGGGAAUUUUCGUCAAUGGGCGCAAGCCUGAACGAGCAAUGCCGCGUGAACGAGGAAGGUCUUCGGAUCGUAAAGUUCUGUUGAAGGGGAAAAAGAGCGGAGAGAGGAAAUGGUCUCCGAUUGAUAUUACCCUUCGAGGAAGUCACGGCUAACUACGUGCCAGCAGCCGCGGUAAUACGUAGGUGGCGAGCGUUAUCCGGAAUGAUUGGGCGUAAAGGGUGCGUAGGCGGCCUGCUAAGUCUGGAGUGAAAGGUACCGGCUCAACCGGUACAGGCUCUGGAAACUGGCGGGCUAGAGAGCAGGAGAGGGCGGUGGAAAGCCAUGGGUAGCGGUAAAAUGCGUAGAUAUAUGGAAGAACACCAGUGGCGAAGGCGACCGCCUGGCCUGUUGACUGACGCUGAGGCACGAAAGCGUGGGGAGCAAAUAGGAUUAGAUACCCCUGUAGUC
rnacentral:rRNA from 1 species